rnacentral:lncRNA from 1 species
AUCCUCCAGAUCAUUACACAGGUUAGCUCUCCCCCUGCUUGCCCACCAGUCACAGGAUUCAAACAAUGAGCUUCAAAUUAUGCUGAGAAUAAAUGGAGAUAAACAGCAAGCCCAAGGAGGCAAAUAAGACGAACACCUUGAAGAAGAACCGGUCAGAAUGGGGAAAAAGGUUUUGAAAAUAUUGGCAGGAUAUGGCGUUGGGUAACUACCUGCACCCUGGUCUGGUUCUUCCUCAUUUGAAGGUAAAUAGUCAAAGUGAAGGAUUUGCCAUAUUAUAUGAAGUUAUUGUAAAACAAAAUUUGUUAGCAGAGACCACCAGCAGCUUCAGAAGAAAGUGAUUAUACCCAGUCCAGUGAUGUACAAAAUAUUUUUAGAGAGUUGAUUUUGUUUUCAAGCUAUGUAUCAGGAUAUCAGUUCCUUUUGUCAAUGUAUAGAGACCAAUGGCAAGAACAUCCAAUAUCUGUGUGAGUGCUUCGUUGUAUAUUUGAUUCGGCAUACUGCAUCUCCUAAUUCUGUUCCUGAAAUACAACUGUAAUGAUGUUGUUCAGUUUCAGUAUGCUCUUGUAUACCCUCAUGCAAUGUAAUAUCAAAAUGCUUUCUGUUACUAAGAGAAGUGUGUGUGUGAAUACAACUUUGUGUAUGAAGCACUUCCUUCUGUCUCUUAGCCUGUUGAGAAACAAGUUUGAUUGUUUUAUAGAAUUUUGCUUUGUUUGAAGAAAUUAUUGAGAGAUGGAAACCUCAUCUUUCAGCUAGAAAGAUGAGGUUUGCCGUGAAGAUUGUAAGUGAAUUUAUUUUUCUCUCCUCAGGGAGGAAGGUCCAUAGUCCACAUCCAGCUCCUCCAAAAGUUGUCUCCUUCUCUCAGGAGCAUCCUGCCUGUUUGCAGGCACGUUCGUUGUUUGGAAGAACAUGGCUGUCAUGGAAGGUCGUGGUCAGAGAAGGGGAAGGAGGUCUCACAGGAUAUAUAACUUCACUCCGAGAUCUGAGUUGA